GGGGUUGUGGCUCAGUGGCAGAGCACUUGCCUAGCAUGUGUGAGGCACUGGGUUCAAUUCUCAGCACCCCA
rnacentral:tRNA from 1 species